AUGUUGUUCCGCCACUUUUCCCUUAUCACUGCCGCUGAUAACGCCAUAACUGCCACACUCUGCUCAUUCUCCUCCCUCUCAUGCUUCUUAUUCAUAUUCCCCACUCAUCUUCGACACACUCGAUUCGAUUCACGUGUCCUUCUCCUUCAAUCUCCACCACAAGCUUUGUCUCAAAUCACUUCUAUUAUCAACACCGUCCUCAAAUGUACCGCAGUUUCGUUCGUCACUCUCUCGAAUUCUCUCAUCACCAAUUCUCGUCCCAAACAACGAGUAACUCACAAAUCCACAAGUUCAGACAAUAAUUUGCGAAUCGAAAUCAGGUGA